rnacentral:tRNA from 1 species
GCGGGUGUAGCUCAGUUGGUUAGAGUGCCGGCCUGUCACGCCGGAGGUCGCGGGUUCGAGCCCCGUCACCCGCG